rnacentral:lncRNA from 1 species
UCCCUCCAACGACCUUAUCCCCAAAUCUUGAUUCAUCAAUGGUGCUCGAGUUGUCCAAGAUUUUCCAUGGAUGUCUUGGGCGAGUUGCCGUUGAUUUGGCAUCGGAGUUGAAGUAUUGAUCUCCUAUUCUUCUUCUUCUUUUCUUUUCCAAACCUUAUGAAGCCUUUGACGGUCUGAUUGAGUCGUCAGCCAUCGAAUUUCAGAUAGAUCGAGCCUCUUCUGUUCUUGUUUCUUUUUUUUUUUUCGCUGAGUUGGUCACUGAAGCCGGAUGUGGUCAUGCUCGGACUGCCAAGGACCGGAGCCACUAUCACCGGCAACAAAGAGUCG